AUUGAACGCUGGCGGAAGGCUUUACACAUGCGAGUCGAGCGGCAGCGCGGCCUUCGGGCUGGCGGCGAGCGGCGAACGGGUGAGUAAUGCAUCGGAACAUGCCCAGUCGUGGGGGAUAACACUUCGAAAGAAGUGCUAAUACCGCAUACGUCCUGAGGGGGAAAGCGGGGGAUCGCAAGACCUCGCGCGAUUGGAGUGGCCGAUGUCAGAUUAGCUAGUUGGUGGGGUAAAGGCCUACCAAGGCGACGAUCUGUAGCUGGUCUGAGAGGAUGAUCAGCCACACUGGGACUGAGACACGGCCCAGACUCCUACGGGAGGCAGCAGUGGGGAAUUUUGGACAAUGGGGGCAACCCUGAUCCAGCCAUUCCGCGUGAGUGAAGAAGGCCUUCGGGUUGUAAAGCUCUUUCGGCAGGAACGAAACGGUGGGCUCUAACAUAGUCCGCUAAUGACGGUACCUGAAGAAGAAGCACCGGCUAACUACGUG
rnacentral:rRNA from 1 species